UACGUAGGGGGCGAGCGUUAUUCGGAUUUACUGGGCGUAAAGCGCGUGUAGGCGGCUGGUUAAGCGUGAUGUGAAAUCUCCGGGCUCAACCCGGAAACUGCAUUGCGAACUGGCCUGGCUGGAGUGCAGGAGAGGGUAGUGGAAUUCCCGGUGUAGCGGUGAAAUGCGUAGAGAUCGGGAGGAACAUCAGUGGCGAAGGCGGCCUUCUGGACCAGUACUGACGCUGAGGCACGAAAGCGUGGGGAGCAAACAGG
rnacentral:rRNA from 1 species